CCUACGGGUGGCUGCAGUGAGGAAUAUUGGUCAAUGGGCGGAAGCCUGAACCAGCCAAGUCGCGUGAGGGAUUAAGGCCCUGCGGGUCGUAAACCUCUUUUGCCGGGGAGCAGAGGUCCGGACGUGUACGGGCCGGGAGAGUACCCGGAGAAAAAGCACGGGCUAACUCCGUGCCAGCAGCCGCGGUAAUACGGAGGAUGCGAGCGUUAUCCGGAUUUAUUGGGUUUAAGGGGUGCGUAGGCGGAAGGUUAAGUCAGCGGUCAAAUGUCGGUGCUCAACACCGGCCUGCCGUUGAAACUGGUCUUCUUGAGUGAGCGAGAAGUAUGCGGAAUGCGUGGUGUAGCGGUGAAAUGCAUAGAUAUCACGCAGAACUCCGAUUGCGAAGGCAGCAUACCGGCGCUCAACUGACGCUGAGGCACGAAAGCGUGGGGAUCGAACAGGAUUAGAUACCCCUGUAGUC
rnacentral:rRNA from 1 species